UUGAGACAGUAACAACAGCGCAGCUGUCAGAAGACGAGGAACCUCAGUUUUUGGGUUUUCCGGAUUCUCAAGCGACUGACGCUGAUGUUAAAGAUCAAAAUUGUCGCAAUAAGCUGAAGAACACCCAAACUACUACGGAUGUUUUAACCGAAGCAUUUCCAAAACCACGUGCAGCACAGAUUUCCAAACCU